UUUAUGAACCCUAGAUCCUAAAUCACCCUAACCCUGUUGUUUGAUUAAUGAGCGUUUUCUUUAGAGAAAACAAGAAUUGCGGGUUUAUUUAGGGUUCCUCAAUUGCAGAGUACAAAAUCACACACCAUACAACGGCUGUUUCAGAUGUCAUGAACUUAAAAACCCCUAUUCGAGUAUUUAGGGUUUUUCAAUCAACUUGAUGUCGUCGAGAAUCACCAGGGUUUUGUGAGAAUUGCGAGUUUAAGGUUUUUCAAUCAU
rnacentral:lncRNA from 1 species